AAAAGUCGUAACAAGGUUUCCGUAGGUGAACCUGCGGAAGGAUCAUUACUGAGUGCGGGCUGCCUCCGGGCGCCCAACCUCCCACCCGUGACUACCUAACACUGUUGCUUCGGCGGGGAGCCCUCUCGGGGGCGAGCCGCCGGGGACUACUGAACUUCAUGCCUGAGAGUGAUGCAGUCUGAGUCUGAAUAUAAAAUCAGUCAAAACUUUCAACAAUGGAUCUCUUGGUUCCGGCAUCGAUGAAGAACGCAGCGAACUGCGAUAAGUAAUGUGAAUUGCAGAAUUCAGUGAAUCAUCGAGUCUUUGAACGCACAUUGCGCCCCCUGGCAUUCCGGGGGGCAUGCCUGUCCGAGCGUCAUUGCUGCCCAUCAAGCCCGGCUUGUGUGUUGGGUCGUCGUCCCCCCCGGGGGACGGGCCCGAAAGGCAGCGGCGGCACCGUGUCCGGUCCUCGAGCGUAUGGGGCUUUGUCACCCGCUCGAUUUAGGGCCGGCCGGGCGCCAGCCGACGUCCAACCAUUUUUCUUCAGGUUGACCUCGGAUCAGGUAGGGAUACCCGCUGAACUUAAGCAUAUCAAUAAGCGGAGGAAAAGAAACCAACCGGGAUUGCCCCAGUAACGGCGAGUGAAGCGGCAAGAGCUCAAAUUUGAAAUCUGGCCCCUCCGGGGUCCGAGUUGUAAUUUGCAGAGGAUGCUUCGGGUGCGGCCCCUGUCUAAGUGCCCUGGAACGGGCCGUCAGAGAGGGUGAGAAUCCCGUCUUGGGCAGGGUGCCCGUGCCCGUGUGAAGCUCCUUCGACGAGUCGAGUUGUUUGGGAAUGCAGCUCUAAAUGGGUGGUAAAUUUCAUCUAAAGCUAAAUACCGGCCGGAGACCGAUAGCGCACAA
rnacentral:misc_RNA from 1 species